GGGUUGUGAGGUUAAGCGACUAAGCGUACACGGUGGAUGCCCUGGCAGUCAGAGGCGAUGAAGGACGUGCUAAUCUGCGAUAAGCGUCGGUAAGGUGAUAUGAACCGUUAUAACCGGCGAUUUCCGAAUGGGGAAACCCAGUGUGAUUCGUCACACUAUCGUUAACUGAAUACAUAGGUUAACGAAGCGAACCGGGGGAACUGAAACAUCUA
rnacentral:rRNA from 2 species